rnacentral:rRNA from 1 species
CCUACGGGUGGCAGCAGUGAGGAAUAUUGGUCAAUGGACGAGAGUCUGAACCAGCCAAGUAGCGUGAAGGAUGACUGCCCUAUGGGUUGUAAACUUCUUUUAUAUGGGAAUAAAACGUUCCACGUGUGGGAUUUUGUAUGUACCAUAUGAAUAAGGAUCGGCUAACUCCGUGCCAGCAGCCGCGGUAAUACGGAGGAUCCGAGCGUUAUCCGGAUUUAUUGGGUUUAAAGGGUGCGUAGGUGGAGUGUUAAGUCAGUUGUGAAAGUUUGCGGCUCAACCGUAAAAUUGCAGUUGAAACUGGCAGUCUUGAGUACAGUAGAGGUGUGCGGAAUGCGUGGUGUAGCGGUGAAAUGCUUAGAUAUCACGAAGAACUCCGAUUGCGAAGGCAGUUCACUGGACUGCAACUGACACUGAGGCUCGAAAGUGUGGGUAUCAAACAGGAUUAGAUACCCCGGUAGUC